UGCUCUGAUGGGCACUGGGCAUAGUAUUAGCUGUGGAAGCAGGAAUAUAUAUUUUAUACAGUUUUCCAAAUAAUUUGCCAAAUGUCUCACUUUGGGUAAGAAUAGGCACAGAAAUGCUGCUUGAUGUGUGAGGACUAGCAUGUGUGUGGUUUAAGGGAUAAGCUGUGGAAAAAACUGUGUCAUCAGGAGCUAGAUCUGGGACUUAAAUGCCCACUACAACUCCUUGUUCCAUGCUGUAAUAAGAUUUCACAUUUCUUGAGCCUUCAGCCCAAGAUCACGAAAAGUUCAUACAUGUGAAACAUCUGUUUUAUCAUUCAUGGCAAUAACUCAAACGACAGAUAAUUUGCUCCAGCACUUCCUUCACCAUGCUUCUCCAUAGGAAAGUACAGUGGAAACAGCUAUCCCUCAGUAAGCACAUGCAGCUCCCAGGAAUGCUUAAAGAGGAGAUGGCAAAAGAAAUGCAGGCUUCGGGCUUUUUGUGUCCUGAAACAAGUCCUCCUCCUCCAGAUUCCUUUCAGGAAGCCUACCCUGGCUGAAUGUAUGCAGGCCAGAAGUUGCUCGUGGACUUAACAAUUUCAGGCGUGAUUAAAGGAAGAUGGACCAAAGCCAUGUUAAAGAGACAGAAGUACUGCCAGACCCUGUGAACCAUUUUAUUGCUUGAUGUAAGAAGAAAAACAUUUACUGUUUCCUUCAGUUGAGUGUUCCCAGGCCCACAAGAAAGCCACUUGCAGCCACAGGGGAACUGCCCGCUUCCUGCUCUUGGAUCAAGGUAGACAUCAACUGUUGGGCCUGGACCAACCCUUUUUCUGAGUGCGUGGGCUCAGGGCCUUCUUCCAGGGCACUCAGUUCUGCUCCUUUCCCUCAGGUUGAAAGCAAGCCUGUAUCAUUCCAUCUGCUCCAAAUGUUGACAGGAGGAAGAUAUUGGAUGAAUAAGGCCAGAAGUAAAUGGUGAUUCUUCUCUGUGGUUGCCUCAGAAGGGAGUGGAAACUUUUAUUGCACAAAGCAGGGAUGGAUCGAGGUGGACAUUGACCACGAAGGACAGAGCUGAGGGAAGUGACCUGCUCUGAUACAUUACCUCUUCUGUCCCAUUCCUUUUCUUUACCUCAGGACUGUCUUUUGGGUUGGCAAACAAUGAUGAUCCAAGUGAAAUCAGAAAACAAAAUCAUAAUGCUCCCAAUUUAGUAAAACUGAUUACUAAUGCUAAUAGGAGUUGUGGUCAACACUCUCCAGGACAUGAAAUGUAGUUUAUUAUCUUCUGCCAGG
rnacentral:lncRNA from 1 species